GACAGAGGUGCCAAGCGUUAGGCGGAAUCACUGGGCUUAAAGCGUGUGUAGGCGGACUUGUAAGUACCUUGUGAAAUCCCACGGCUCACCCGUGGAACGGCUGGGUAGACUGGCGGUCUUGGGCCACCUAGGGGCAGAUGGAACAGACGGUGGAGCGGUGAAAUGCGUAGAUAUCGUCUGGAACGCCAAAGGUGAAAACAGUCUGCUGGGGGUGUGCCGACGCUGAGACACGAAAGCCAGGGGAGCGAACGGG
rnacentral:rRNA from 1 species